GAUGAACGCUGGCGGCGUGCCUAAUACAUGCAAGUCGAGCGAAUGGAUUAAGAGCUUGCUCUUAUGAAGUUAGCGGCGGACGGGUGAGUAACACGUGGGUAACCUGCCCAUAAGACUGGGAUAACUCCGGGAAACCGGGGCUAAUACCGGAUAACAUUUUGAACCGCAUGGUUCGAAAUUGAAAGGCGGCUUCGGCUGUCACUUAUGGAUGGACCCGCGUCGCAUUAGCUAGUUGGUGAGGUAACGGCUCACCAAGGCAACGAUGCGUAGCCGACCUGAGGGGGUGAUCGGCCACCCUGGGACUGAGACACGGCCCAGACUCCUACGGGAGGCAGCAGUAGGGAAUCUUCCGCAAUGGACGAAAGUCUGACGGAGCAACGCCGCGUGAGUGAUGAAGGCUUUCGGGUCGUAAAACUCUGUUGUAGGGAAGAACAAGUGCUAGUUGAAUAAGCUGGCACCUUGACGGUACCUAACCAGAAAGCCACGGCUAACUACGUGCCAGCCGCCGCCGUAA
rnacentral:rRNA from 1 species